CUGACACAAAGAAGCAGGUGUGAGACCGGCCCCUUUCUCCCAUGCCUUAGACAGGGCUCCAGGGACUGCUUCAGGGGAGAUGUCAGAGGGCAGCAGGGACCGGGAAGGGAGGAAGAAAGCAGAGUGACAGUGAGAGGUGGGAAAACUACAAGAGGAAUUGUUUGUACGCUUGGAUCUGGACUUUUAGAACUGGUCAGGACCUGACAGAUCCUCCAGCCCAGUUCUCCCGGCUCUCAAACACUGGCAUCAUUUAUAAUUCCCUGGAAAAUCACCAGCAGGUAAAUGAAGGAGAAAAGAAAAGAACAAAAUCCACCGGGAACCAGAGACUUCCAGGCUCCAAAGACAGGCAAUCUCCACCAGGAAACACAGGAGAAGCCCUGAAAAGUUAGUCUUCUGGAAGAGAAAUUUACAUCUACAAAGGAAAUCUCCAUUUGUAAGUGUGUCUUCUUCUGCACUAGGAAGAGAAGGAUGACUAAAUCAGAGAAGUCUCUUGUCAGAGAAAGCACGGACUUCAGUC
rnacentral:lncRNA from 10 species